rnacentral:rRNA from 1 species
CUUGCUCCUUUGACGUUAGCGGCGGACGGGUGAGUAACACGUGGAUAACCUACCUAUAAGACUGGGAUAACUUCGGGAAACCGGAGCUAAUACCGGAUAACAUAUUGAACCGCAUGGUUCAAUAGUGAAAGGCGGCUUUGCUGUCACUUAUAGAUGGAUCCGCGCCGUAUUAGCUAGUUGGUAAGGUAACGGCUUACCAAGGCAACGAUACGUAGCCGACCUGAGAGGGUGAUCGGCCACACUGGAACUGAGACACGGUCCAGACUCCUACGGGAGGCAGCAGUAGGGAAUCUUCCGCAAUGGGCGAAAGCCUGACGGAGCAACGCCGCGUGAGUGAUGAAGGUCUUCGGAUCGUAAAACUCUGUUAUCAGGGAAGAACAAAUGUGUAAGUAACUGUGCACAUCUUGACGGUACCUGAUCAGAAAGCCACGGCUAACUACGUGCCAGCAGCCGCGGUAAUACGUAGGUGGCAAGCGUUAUCCGGAAUUAUUGGGCGUAAAGCGCGCGUAGGCGGUUUUUUAAGUCUGAUGUGAAAGCCCACGGCUCAACCGUGGAGGGUCAUUGGAAACUGGAAAACUUGAGUGCAGAAGAGGAAAGUGGAAUUCCAUGGGGAAAGCGGGGAA